rnacentral:lncRNA from 1 species
GUUCUGCCUGGAUGCAGGCAGGGCUGGGAAGCCUCACUUUUCCUCUCCCCCCUCAGUUUUGUGGAAGCCAUUUGUUCUGUCUUAAGUUGGGAUCGGAGUCUUGUUUCUCAGGUGGAGAAAAUGGAAACUGAGGUCAGGGAUUUUGAGGAAAGUCAGGAGGUGUGGUUAUCCCCCAGGUGACAGUUCGCUCAGAGUGGGAUGACCCUCCUAACUGAAUUCUCCCCCAACCCCUCCUCUUGACCUCCAGUCCCUCCUUGAGCUUCAGGGUCCUUGAUUCAGGGUCAGGUCCAGGGCUGGCUGUAAAGGCACUGUGGAACCUGAUGGGGUUUUCCAGCACCAUGCCGUUGCCCAGGUUACCCAUCCUGCUUGCACUGGUCUGCCCUCCCAACACUGCCUAGCUUGGGCUCAACCUUCCUCGAACCCUACAGAGGUUCUGGUCUCUAAAUUGUUCACAUCUCCCAUAUGCCUUCAGACUGCUUUACCAAGACAGCUUCUUGCAGGCAGGAACACAGUUGCCUCUCAAUAAACUUGUGUUGCAGAAAAGGAAUGAUUGAG